rnacentral:sRNA from 1 species
AGGGGAAGCAACCAAUCCUCUGAAAAUGCAGUUGCCUUCUUCGUCCUUGGAUGCGUAUCCAGCAAUA